rnacentral:rRNA from 2 species
AGUCUGAUGGAGCAACGCCGCGUGAGUGAAGAAGGCUUUCGGGUCGUAAAACUCUGUUGUUGGAGAAGAAUGGUCGGCAGAGUAACUGUUGUCGGCGUGACGGUAUCCAACCAGAAAGCCACGGCUAACUACGUGCCAGCAGCCGCGGUAAUACGUAGGUGGCAAGCGUUAUCCGGAUUUAUUGGGCGUAAAGCGAGCGCAGGCGGUUUUUUAAGUCUGAUGUGAAAGCCCUCGGCUUAACCGAGGAAGUGCAUCGGAAACUGGGAAACUUGAGUGCAGAAGAGGACAGUGGAACUCCAUGUGUAGCGGUGAAAUGCGUAGAUAUAUGGAAGAACACCAGUGGCGAAGGCGGCUGUCUGGUCUGUAACUGACGCUGAGGCUCGAAAGCAUGGGUAGCGAACAGGAUUAGAUACCCUGGUAGUCCAUGCCGUAAACGAUGAAUGCUAGGUGUUGGAGGGUUUCCGCCCUUCAGUGCCGCAGCUAACGCAUUAAGCAUUCCGCCUGGGGAGUACGACCGCAAGGUUGAAACUCAAAGGAAUUGACGGGGGCCCGCACAAGCGGUGGAGCAUGUGGUUUAAUUCGAAGCAACGCGAAGAACCUUACCAGGUCUUGACAUCUUUUGAUCACCUGAGAGAUCAGGUUUCCCCUUCGGG